UACACUCGGAGCUCAUUCAACCCCACGAAGCCCGCAAACACGUCCCUCUCCUUCGUCUAUCUCUUUCCCCGACCUCCCCUCGCCGCCGCCGCCACUGCCACUGUCGACGCCAACCUCCAGCCACGGCGUUCCUCUCUCACCCGAGCGACGAAGGCACCCCCUUGACCUCGCCUCCGACCGUAUCGUUGUGCGUCACCGCCGCCGCUGCCACUGUCGACGCCAACCUCGAGCCACGACAUCCCUCUCUCGACCGAGCGACAAAGGCACCCCCGACGGCGGGUACACGUCGGACACGCACGAGGAUCCGAAAGACCGCAAGCACAAGAAGGAGAUGGUGGGCGAGUUGCCGCCGCAGGCCUGGUCCAGCUUCUUUCUACGCCGGGUUUGAACUUCUCGGUUGCCCCGUUGCUGGAUCCUACCUCGGUCGAGCCCCCGGCAAGCAAGGUACGAUCAUACGUCAUAUGAUCUUUUGGCGCGAUCGAAAUAGCAUCGGUCACUUGCUGAUGGAGGCACGGCCGGUUACGGUGUCUACAAUGGCAGCAUGUGGAUGUGUAUGCCCCGACCCCUCCUAUACGUGCACCUCUGCAGCGAUCUAAAGGUGUAAUUCCUCAAGCAUAUUGGCUGGUCACCCGAGCCUAAUUGACAAAUUAUUCAACCUGUUCAUGGAUCAGGCAAAAUAUUCCAUUCAUAAUAAAUGUAUUUGGUUUGCUUUCAGUUUGUUGAUUUUAACAAGCUUCGGAAUACAAUAGUUAUGUUAGGCUAUUCAAACGAAAAAAACAUGCAUGCAUCAUGACCGGCUCGAGGUGGUUGGAGGUUAUUUAAUUUAGGUGAAACAGUUCCAACUUCAACUAUUUGGUUUGGGAAGUAUAUAUAUACUCUUGCUGCUAGGAAUAGCAGGCACCAUGAUAUUCUCAGUUUUCUUUAUUCUUGUCAAGCUUUACAUCACAGCGACAAAGACAUGCAUGCGUCAUGACCGGCUGGAGCUGGUUGGGCGAUUAGUUACAGUAUUGUCACACUAUUAUUGGGUAUUUUUUCAAUGCCUCAUAUUUGACAAAGGGGAUUACAUGUAUUCUCUCAAAAAAAUGACAAGUUUAUAGGUGUACUUUUCAA